rnacentral:rRNA from 1 species
CCUACGGUGGGCUGCAGUGGGGAAUAUUGGACAAUGGGGGCAACCCUGAUCCAGCCAUGCCGCGUGUGUGAAGAAGGCCCUCGGGUUGUAAAGCACUUUCAGUGAGGAAGAACGCCUGGUGGUUAAUACCCAUCAGGAAAGACAUCACUCACAGAAGAAGCACCGGCUAACUCCGUGCCAGCAGCCGCGGUAAUACGGAGGGUGCGAGCGUUAAUCGGAAUUACUGGGCGUAAAGCGCGCGUAGGUGGCUUGAUAAGCCGGUUGUGAAAGCCCCGGGCUCAACCUGGGAACGGCAUCCGGAACUGUCAAGCUAGAGUGCAGGAGAGGAAGGUAGAAUUCCCGGUGUAGCGGUGAAAUGCGUAGAGAUCGGGAGGAAUACCAGUGGCGAAGGCGGCCUUCUGGACUGACACUGACACUGAGGUGCGAAAGCGUGGGUAGCAAACAGGAUUAGAUACCCCUGUAGUC